rnacentral:rRNA from 1 species
UACAGAGGUCCCAAGCGUUGUUCGGAUUUACUGGGCGUAAAGGGCGCGUAGGCGGCCAGCACAAGUCAGUUGUGAAAUCUCCGGGCUUAACUCGGAAAGGUCAACUGAUACUGUGCGGCUAGAGUGCAGAAGGGGCAACUGGAAUUCUCGGUGUAGCGGUGAAAUGCGUAGAUAUCGAGAGGAACACCUGCGGCGAAGGCGGGUUGCUGGGCUGACACUGACGCUGAUGCGCGAAAGCCAGGGGAGCGAACGGG